CUACGGGUGGCUCCAGUGGGGAAUCUUGGACAAUGGGCGCAAGCCUGAUCCAGCCAUGCCGCGUGAGUGAAGAAGGCCUUAGGGUCGUAAAGCUCUUUCGCCAGAGAUGAUAAUGACAGUAUCUGGUAAAGAAACCCCGGCUAACUCCGUGCCAGUAGCCGCGGUAAUACGGAGGGGGUUAGCGUUGUUCGGAAUUACUGGGCGUAAAGCGCGCGUAGGCGGAUUAGUCAGUCAGAGGUGAAAUCCCAGGGCUCAACCCUGGAACUGCCUUUGAUACUGCUAGUCUUGAGUUCGAGAGAGGUGAGUGGAAUUCCGAGUGUAGAGGUGAAAUUCGUAGAUAUUCGGAGGAACACCAGUGGCGAAGGCGGCUCACUGGCUCGAUACUGACGCUGAGGCGCGAAAGUGUGGGGAGCAAACAGGAUUAGAUACCCCCGUAGUC
rnacentral:rRNA from 1 species